GCCAAGCAGUGCCAACGUACAACACCUUCCGAGCUAAUGGACCACAUACAAUCUCCAAACGAAUUUCGUGUUGAGGAGCAGAUGUAAUCUCGAAUUAUCUGUAAAUAGUUAUUGUUACUGAAAUCUCCAUGUUUUCUUAGAACUCACCGUUUCAAGGAUCGAUUGAAAUGUGGUACGAGACUUUUCGUCUGUGAAAGCAAAGCACUCAGAAUCGGAAUUUGCUCCGAUAAAGACGUAUAGUAGAUACUUUUGUGGGAGACGUUGGAAACAUGGGAGCACUGAUUUGAUGGAUGAAGUAUCGAUUGACUUUGAUAAUGAAUUAUCUCCAUAUAUUUGAAGAUUAUUAUUAAGAAUUGUGAUGUUGACACUCCUAAAAUUUGAUGUUCUUUUGGUUAAUAAAAUGAAAAUUUUUACCGAA
ensembl:ncRNA T01H3.11 ncRNA